rnacentral:lncRNA from 1 species
UACAACAGGAGAACCAGUGCCUGAAUCAGCAAGUUGCCCAUUUAUGGCUGCGUUUAUGGCACUGCAGAAAAUAAGAUAUACCUAGAAGAAUUCAGAAGGAAGUUUGAAAACUACAGCAAGACCAAGACACACCUGGAAAACUAGAGCAAUUUAAUCCUGUGAAAGGUGGAAGGAUUGCUGGAAUCUUCUCAAACUUACCGCACCUGUAUUUGUUAAUAAAGAAAUAACUCACCCUU